AGUGAACGCUGGCGGUAGGCCUAACACAUGCAAGUCGAACGGCAGCACAGUAAGAGCUUGCUCUUACGGGUGGCGAGUGGCGGACGGGUGAGGAAUACAUCGGAAUCUACUUUUUCGUGGGGGAUAACGUAGGGAAACUUACGCUAAUACCGCAUACGACCUACGGGUGAAAGCAGGGGAUCUUCGGACCUUGUGCGAUUGAAUGAGCCGAUGUCGGAUUAGCUAGUUGGCGGGGUAAAGGCCCACCAAGGCGACGAUCCGUAGCUGGUCUGAGAGGAUGAUCAGCCACACUGGAACUGAGACACGGUGCAGACUCCUACGGGAGGCAGCAGUGGGGAAUAUUGGACAAUGGGCGCAAGCCUGAUCCAGCCAUACCGCGUGGGUGAAGAAGGCCUUCGGGUUGUAAAGCCCUUUUGUUGGGAAAGAAAAGCAGCAGGUUAAUACCCCGCUGUUCUGACGGUACCCAAAGAAUAAGCACCGGCUAACUUCGUG
rnacentral:rRNA from 1 species